rnacentral:sRNA from 1 species
AUGUACUGACGUGUACACUCCGGUUCCUGUGCUCCGGCGACGCGCAACCUGCCUUCGCUCGCGACGCUUUUCAGGCC